AACACAAAAGCAAUAAAUUGAAAUCAAAAAUCCUUUAGUUUGUUUAUAUAUAGUGCUUUUAAGGUAUUUUUUGAAAGUUGAAGAAAUUGAAAGAAAUGAAAAAUGGUGGCUCCGAUUGGACUUGAACCAACGGCCACUACCA
rnacentral:antisense_RNA from 1 species